rfam:Schistosoma mansoni strain Puerto Rico chromosome 3, complete genome
GUCCAGUUGACGAGUCCCAAACAGGACGAAACGCGUGUUCUGGGU